AUGUAUAGGAGCUGACGCCUGCCCGGUGCUGGAAGGUUAAGGGGAUCUGUUAGAGUAAUCGAAGCAGUGAACUUAAGCCCCAGUAAACGGCGGCCGUAACUAUAACGGUCCUAAGGUAGCGAAAUUCCUUGUCGGGUAAGUUCCGACCCGCACGAAAGGCGUAACGAUUUGGGCACUGUCUCAACAACAGACUCGGUGAAAUUGUAAUUCCGGUGAAGAUGCCGGAUACCUGCGACAGGACGGAAAGACCCCAUGGAGCUUUACUGUAGCUUGACAUUGGGUCUUGGUACUACAUGUACAGGAUAGGUGGGAGGCUUUGAAACCAGGACGCCAGUUUUGGCGGAGCCAUCCUUGGGAUACCACCCUUGUAGUACUGGGACUCUAACCAUAGGCCAUGAAUCUGGUCUUGGGACACUGUCAGGUGGGCAGUUUGACUGGGGCGGUCGCCUCCCAAAAGGUAACGGAGGCGCUCAAAGGUUCUCUCAGUACGGUCGGAAAUCGUACGUAGAGUGUAAAGGCAAAAGAGAGCUUGAUUGCAAGACAUACAGGUCGAGCAAGGAUGAAAAUCGGACUUAGUGAUCCGGUGGUUCUGCGUGGAAGGGCCAUCGCUCAACGGAUAAAAGCUACCCUGGGGAUAACAGGCUUAUCUCCCCCAAGAGUCCACAUCGACGGGGAGGUUUGGCACCUCGAUGUCGGCUCAUCACAUCCUGGGGCUGUAGUAGGUCCCAAGGGUUGGGCUGUUCGCCCAUUAAAGUGGUACGCGAGCUGGGUUCAGAACGUCGUGAGACAGUUCGGUCCCUAUCCGUCGCAGGCGUAGGAAAUUUGAGAAGACCUGUCCUUAGUACGAGAGGACCGGGAUGGACGUACCUCUGGUGUACCAGUUGUCCUGCCAAGGGCAUGGCUGGGUAGCUAUGUACGGAAUGGAUAAGCGCUGAAAGCAUCUAAGCGCGAAGCCAACUUCAAGAUAAGAUUUCCCACCGCAAGGGUAAGACCCCAGAAAGACUAUCUGGUUGAUAGGUCGAAGGUGUAAGUGCAGCAAUGUAUUUAGCUUAUCGAUACUAAUAGGUCGAGGACUUGACCAA
rnacentral:rRNA from 1 species